GGGUUUAGAACGUCGUGAGACAGUUCGGUCCCUAUCUGCCGUGGGCGCUGGAGAACUGAGGGGGGCUGCUCCUAGUACGAGAGGACCGGAGUGGACGCAUCACUGGUGUUCGGGUUGUCAUGCCAAUGGCACUGCCCGGUAGCUAAAUGCGGAAGAGAUAAGUGCUGAAAGCAUCUAAGCACGAAACUUGCCCCGAGAUGAGUUCUCCCUGAGACUUAGAGUCUCCUGAAGGAACGUUGAAGACGACGACGUUGAUAGGCCGGGUGUGUAAGCGCAGCGAUGCGUUGAGCUAACCGGUACUAAUGAACCGUGAGGCUUAACCUUAC
rnacentral:rRNA from 1 species